UACAGAGGGGGCAAGCGUUGUUCGGAAUUACUGGGCGUAAAGGGCGCGUAGGCGGCCAACUAAGUCGGACGUGAAAUCCCCGGGCUCAACCCGGGAACUGCGUCCGAUACUGGAUGGCUUGGAUUUGGGAGAGGGAUGCGGAAUUCCAGGUGUAGCGGUGAAAUGCGCAGAUAUCAGGAGGAACACCGGUGGCGAAGGCGGGUCUCUGGGCCGUAACUGACGCUGAGGAGCGAAAGCGUGGGGAGCGAACAGG
rnacentral:rRNA from 1 species